rnacentral:rRNA from 1 species
GAGUGAACGCUGGCGGUAGGCCUAACACAUGCAAGUCGAACGGCAGCACAGUAAGAGCUUGCUCUUACGGGUGGCGAGUGGCGGACGGGUGAGGAAUACAUCGGAAUCUACUUUUUCGUGGGGGAUAACGUAGGGAAACUUACGCUAAUACCGCAUACGACCUACGGGUGAAAGCAGGGGAUCUUCGGACCUUGCGCGAUUGAAUGAGCCGAUGUCGGAUUAGCUAGUUGGCGGGGUAAAGGCCCACCAAGGCGACGAUCCGUAGCUGGUCUGAGAGGAUGAUCAGCCACACUGGAACUGAGACACGGUCCAGACUCCUACGGGAGGCAGCAGUGGGGAAUAUUGGACAAUGGGCGCAAGCCUGAUCCAGCCAUACCGCGUGGGUGAAGAAGGCCUUCGGGUUGUGAAGCCCUUUUGUUGGGAAAGAAAAGCAGCAGGUUAAUACCCCGCUGUCCUGACGGUACCCAAAGAAUAAGCACCGGCUAACUUCGUG